UACGUAGGGGGCAAGCGUUAUCCGGAUUUACUGGGUGUAAAGGGAGCGUAGACGGCGAGGCAAGUCCGAUGUGAAAACCCGGGGCUCAACCCCGGGAUUGCAUUGGAAACUGUUUGGCUCGAGUACUGGAGGGGCAAGCGGAAUUCCUGGUGUAGCGGUGAAAUGCGUAGAUAUCAGGAGGAACACCGGUGGCGAAGGCGGCUUGCUGGACAGUUACUGACGUUGAGGCUCGAAAGCGUGGGGAG
rnacentral:rRNA from 1 species